UUCAGAAAUACACACCAACAGACCAACUUGCAAAGGUUCUGGGGAGAAAGGGACACACGAGAUUUUGGAACUGGACAUUCUGCAGCCUAGAAAUGUUGGAAAUAUUUUAUAAAAACUACUGAGUUAUAAAUCAGAUUCAUGUAUUGUGUGUUGUUAUUUAAACUGCAGAUCUGCUUUUAGGAAAAGUUAAAUAUUUAAAACUCAAGAGAUUAGAAUUCUGAAAUCAAAGGGAGAAAGGGUAGGGGUGAAUGGAGGCAGUGAAAUGCUCAACAUUCAUUCAAAGCUGGGGUUUAUUCUCAUCCAGAAAGCUGUAGGGAAAUGAAUAGAAGGGGAUUUUCCCACUAGGGGUUUUGGUAAUAUCCCGAGCAAAGGGAAGGAAGGUCAUGGCCGACCACCAGGCAGCGUGAGUGAGGAAGGAGAGGCACAUCCAGAAAGCGAGUCUCCUCUGUUCUUCAUCCACAGAAGCUUCUGAGAUGACUCUUCAAAGAUGGAAUGCACCUGGCAAGUUGUACCAGGAAGAGGGAGUGACAAUCUAUUGGAGAUUUUGACUCCAAAUGAUGAAACAGUGGUGGUGCAGAUCGGGUCAGGCCGCGGAGAGGGGGACCCCAGGGUUCCAAGAACUCUGUUUCCAUGGUCACGGAGCCUGUGACCCAAGUGUGGAGCCCACUUCACUGACAUAGGGCCUGGGACCUCAUCUGGAGCAGAAUUUCCACAGUGCUGCCACCUUGCCACAGUCAGAUGCCUGUUCUGUGGGCAGACCCCACCAGAACGAGGCUCCCGCAGUGCCGCGCCUAUGGCAGAGCCGUCCACGCUGGACACUCUCAGCCCCACAAGACCCGUCCCUAGCCUUGCCCAAUGUCACCUCUGUCACCAGAGGGUGUGGUCAGGAGCCAGAAGAGGGCAGAGGUGCAGAGUAUUCUGGCUUACCUUCUUCACCCUGCAUCUGUACUGAGUGAGACAGGACUUGCACUGGCCAACACAGCCGAUCUCCUGGGACCUGCCAGGGCUGGAAGUAGUUAACCUGAGGGUUAAGGGUAAAGACGGUGGCCUGGUAAGCCAAAUGGCUGAGAUUUAGAAAGUAGUAAUAAAAGGUGAAGAGGAGCAGACAGUGGAGGCGUGGAUGGAACCCCUGGAAGGUGUGGCCCCUGAAGAUUCCCCAAGGCUAUAAAGGCGAGACGGUGUUUUAGUGCCCAAGUCUGAGUUUUUUCAUGUAAUUGCCUGUGGUGCCUGCCACUCCACCCUAAGAAAAAAGAACAUGCUGGUUUUUCUUCACAUGGUGCUCUACAAGAAAGGCAACGACCCUCCUCACUAGGCCAAACCCUGAGGGAAAAUCAUUAUUUUCCAGCCGACAUUUCUUAAAUGACUCUUCAAAGAUCCACCCCUUCUCCCCAGGAAGAAUGCCUCCUACUGGGUGAAGAGAAGCCCACAGGUCUAGAACAAUCUACGGUUAAUGAGAGAUGCCAUGUUGGCCUGACCCUGCUACCAGGAGCCCUAACUGAGGAGACGGCUUCUACCUCUUGCCCGCCUCCACUUCACUCUCUCCUCCACUGGCCCCCGCCCCGCCCCCAACCUCAUGUCUUCUUGCCUCCUGCUGCUGCCUCAGCUGCUGCUCGUCUGCAAGAAGCCUCUGCUGGGAAACCUCCUGGAUGACCACAGGCCUCAGGCACUUCUCUCCCCUUUGUCUCUCCAGUUCAGCCCAGCCCAUCCAUCCCAGUCCUGAGGGCUUGAUCCCAGUGCAGCCUUGGCAAGGGCUGGCCCCCUAGGCUCACUGCCUUGGAGCCCUGGCCCUGCCACUUCCCAGCCAGUUCUCUGUGCCACUGGAACCUAUUCUCUUACCACAGGCGCUUUCACGUGCUGGUGUCAGGGCUCCACAAAGGCACGUCCCAGCACAGCCGCAUUCACGCUUGGCACCCAGCCCACACAGGUCCCCAGCUGUCUUAUCCCCUCCUGUCUUUCCUCCUUCUUCCCUCAGUGAUCUCUACCAUUCAAAGCCUGAUUGUCCCGAAGCCAUUCCUUUCUGCCAAUUCACAGUGUGGCCCAAGAGCUCGCACUUUUCCAGUCAGUCUAUUUGAAGUGUGGGUGUAAGGCCUUCGCCCUCUUUACGGAUCCACAGUUCCAAGUUCUGCCCCGUGCAGAGCAGCCCGCUGGGGAUUCUGGAGUCCCUCUUCCGGUGAGCAUGGAGGAGGAGGCUGAGUGGCUGCGUACACUGAGCUCCGAGUCCCCGUGCCCCUGUCAUUUAUGGAGGGCGGCUGGAGGAGAGCGAACGUGGCUUGUGCCGGGCACUCUGGAUGGAACAGUCCUCUGUCCCAGAGCAUGGAGACUAGACUCCCAGGGAGGCCUUCAGGCCUUUGAGGGGCUUUGCUUUCCCACCUGAAGUUUAUGGACACACAGCACCUUUCCCGUUCAAGGAGGGAAGAAGGCAGCCAGCACUGAAUCCGAGUCUUAGAGCUGGAAGGCACCCUUGCACUCUGCUUACCUCCAACCCAAACCUCAUCAUUCUCCUCCUUGUUAAUCAACGAAGAGGUGUGUUCUCUGCCGUCUCAGUCUUUUCAGCUUCAUCCUCCAGUAUGAAAUGUUAGUAUUUUAUUAACCUCUGCUCCCAAGUCUCACAGCUGGCCCCUAACCUUUGCUGAGGCCCUGCAGUAACACCUAGUGCCUGUGGAGCAUUGGGCUGCCCACUUGUUCACUGAUCCACUGAUUCAUUCAUCAAGGCUGGAUCAGGAACUCACUGCGUGUGCUGAGUUCCAAGCCUGACGCAUAGUGAGGACAUGGCAAAUGUCAGUGUGACGGUUAAUUUAAUGUGUCAACUUGACUGGGCCUCAGGCUGCCCAGACAUUUGGUCAAACAUUAUCCUGGGUGUGUCGUUGAGGGUGUCUCUGGGUGAGAUGAACAUUUUAGUUGGUAGACUGAGUAAGGCAGAUGGCCCUCCCCAACAUGGGUGGGCCUCAUCCAAUCAGUUGAAGGCUUGAAUAGAACAAAGCGGCAGAGCAAGGGGGAACUCCUACUGCAUGAUGCUCAGCUGGGACAUGUGGUCUUUUCUGGUCCUCACAUAGAGACUGAGAAAUUGGCUCAUGGUGAGUCUUGAGCCUGCUGGCUUUCUGACCAGAACACCACCAUCACCUCUGCUGGUUCUCAGUCCUUGGACUUGGAGGAGCCACAGCACAGCCCUCCUGGGUCCUCAGCUUGCUGCCUGCAGAUCUGGGCACUGGUCAGCCUCCAAAAUCACGUGAGCCACUCCUUACAGUGAACCUCUUCAUAUAUAUCCUCUCCUCUCGGUUCUGGUCUCUGGAGAACCCUGACUAACACAAUCAGCGUUAUCAGGACUAUGACCAUCUCCAUCCUACGCAGCCAACACCCACGUGGAGCUUAGAGUGUCAGGCACUGUGAGUUCAUUAAUUCAGUCACUCACUAAAUGCCCACUACGUGCUCAAGAGAAACAAUGCAGGCCCUGCCACAGAGGAGUACAAGACGCAGGAGUCCGCUGUGCCAGUGAUGGCUGGCUGUCAACGUGAGGCUAUCAACAGACUAUGCAGUUCUCCAUUACAAUAGAAAUCAGCAAAAUAAAACUCACUUAUUAUUCAUUUA
ensembl:lncRNA